AGACACGACAUAUUGUCUCAACUAUCAACUCUGACCCCUCUCUCUUUCGGACGAACCAGUUCUGCAGUUUGGCGCUGCCUUGAGGAUCGAAUAUAUAUAGGGCGUAAGUUUGCUAUUCUGAGGACUUAUUGUGUUGAGAACUUGUCGGUUUGAUUGAAUUCAAGUGGUUCGGUUCUUUGCAAGAUGGACUUAGUGUCUGGUUACAAGGGAGUUGUUGGGCUUGUAUUUGGAAAUGAGGGUUCUGGUUCAAGUGAAGAUAGCUAUGUUGAACGCUUGCUCGACCGUAUAAGCAAUGGUGUCCUGGCGGAGGAUAGGAGGACUGCUAUUACCGAACUUCAAUCUGUUGUAGCAGAAAGUCAUGCUGCCCAGCUAGCUUUUGGGGCAAUGGGCUUUCCAGUACUUUUGAGUGUCUUAAAGGAGGAGCGAGAUGAUGUUGAAAUGGUCCGAGGUGCUCUUGAAACUCUUGCUAGUGCUUUGACUCCAAUUAAUCAUGUAAAAGGGCCAAAGAAUGAGGUUCAACCAGCUUUAAUGAACACUGAUUUGCUUUCUAGGGAAGCAGAAAGCAUUUCUCUUCUUCUAAGUCUGUUGUCGGAGGAGGAUUUCUAUGUACGGUAUUAUACACUUCAACUUCUGACGGCCCUUCUUACAAAUUCUCCAAAUAGGUUACAGGAAGCCAUUCUGACCAUUCCUCGUGGUAUCACUCGGCUUAUGGAUAUGCUUAUGGAUCGUGAGGUUAUACGAAACGAAGCCUUGUUACUCCUAACUUACUUGACACGUGAAGCUGAGGAAAUUCAAAAAAUCGUGGUCUUUGAAGGUGCUUUUGACAAGAUUUUUAGUAUUGUAAAAGAGGAAGGGGGUUCAGAAGGUGGUGUCGUUGUGCAGGACUGUCUCGAAUUGUUGAACAAUCUCCUAUGUAACAAUGCAUCCAAUCAGGUACUUUUGAGGGAGACGUUAGGCUUUGAUUCCAUAUUAUCAAUUUUGAAGCUCAGAGGAAGUACAUACAAAUUUACCCAGCAAAAGACGAUAAAUCUACUCAGUGCGUUAGAAACCAUUAGUUUGCUGAUUGUUGAAGGUCCGGAAACUGAGACUGGAAAAGAUGCCAAUAAGCUGACCAACAAAACAGUCUUGGUUCAGAAAAAAGUUCUUGACCAUCUAUUAAUGUUAGGAGUUGAAAGCCAAUGGGCUUCUGUUGCAGUGCGUUGUGCGGCACUUCGAUGCAUUGGUGAUCUGAUUGCUGGUCAUCCUAAGAAUCGUGAUGCCCUUGCAAGUAAAAUUCUUGGAGAAGAGCCAAAUGUAGAACCUGCUCUGAAUUCUAUCCUUAGAAUCAUCUUGCGAACUUCUAGCAUGCAAGAAUUUCUUGCAGCUGACUAUGUUUUUAAGAGCUUCUGUGAGAAUAACUCUGAUGGUCAAACAAUGUUAGCAUCCACAUUAAUUCCACAACCGCAGUCAACACUUCAUGCUCCGGUUGAGGAGGAUGUGAACAUGUCCUUUGGAAGCAUGCUUCUACAUGGUCUUACUAUGAGUGAAAAUGACGGUGACCUUGAGACUUGUUGCAGAGCUGCUAGUGUCCUUUCUCAUGUGCUGAAGGACAACAUAGAAUGCAAAGAUAGGGUUCUGCGAAUUGAACUUGAGGCACCGAUGCGUUCCUUAGGAGCGCCGGAGCCAUUAAUGCAUCGUAUGGUGAAAUACUUGGCUCUUGCUUCUUCCAUGGAAAAUAAAGAUGGAAAAUCAAGCACAUCAGGGUUUUUGUAUGUUCAACCAAUUAUCCUGAAAUUGUUAGUCACUUGGCUCUAUGAUUGCCCUAGUGCAGUGCUAUGUUUCCUAGAUUCACGUCCUCAUCUAACAUAUUUACUUGAGUUGGUAUCAAAUCCAUCCACAACUGUAUGCAGUAGAGGGCUGGCAGCAGUUCUUUUGGGAGAGUGUGUCAUUUACAAUAAAUCUGGUGACGGUGGAAAGGAUGCUUUUACCAUAGUUGACGCUCUAAGCCAGAAAGUUGGUCUCACAUCAUACUUCUUGAAGUUUGAUGAGAUGCAGAAAAGCAUUCUAUUUUCCUCUUCUAAACCAUCCCAGCCCCGUAAACCAAUGACAAGAUCAACUGCUGCUAGUAUGGCAGAGAUUGAAGAUGUUGACGAGAAUCAGUUAACUAAUCAGAAGAAUGAAGAUCAUCCACUACUUGGGUCGAUAUUUGAUGCUCAGUUUGUUAAUUUUGUUAAGAGUUUGGAGGCAGAUAUUAGAGAUAGCAUUGUGGAGACUUACAGUCAUCCAAAGAGCAAGGUAGCUGUGGUGCCAGCGGAGAUAGAACAAAAGGGUGGGGAAACUGCUGAAGACUAUAUCAAGCGGCUGAAAUCAUUUGUGGAGAAGCAGUGCUCCGAGAUACAGGACCUUCUUAGUCGGAAUUCGUCUUUGGCUGAGGAUUUGGCCAAGAUAGGUGGAGGUGGUUCUUCCUGGCAUGAGCACAGAGCUACUGGGGGCUCAGAAAGAGUCCAGACCGAGACACUCCGGAGAGAUCUUCAAGAGGCCACCCAACGGGUAGAGAUGCUCAAGACUGAGAAGGCCAAGAUAGAAUCUGAGGCUUCCAUGUACCAAAAUUUAGCUGGGAAGAUGGAGUCGGAUCUGAAAAGCUUGUCCGAUGCUUACAACAGUCUGGAACAGGCAAACUUCCAUCUAGAAAAGGAAGUGAAAGCUUUAAAGAGUGGGGGAGCCACGGCAUCUCCAGAUAUUGAGGCAAUAAAAGCAGAAGCAAGGGAAGAAGCCCAGAAGGAGAGUGAGGCAGAAUUAAACGAUUUACUUGUCUGUCUUGGGCAAGAGCAGAGCAGAGUGGAGAAGCUAAGUGCAAGGUUGUUGGAUUUGGGGGAGGAUGUAGAAAAGCUGCUUGAAGGUAUAGGAGAUGAAGUCGGGCUUCCUGAAGAUGGUGAAGAGGAGGAAGACUAGUGGUAGAUUUGUGUUACAGUUUUUAUGUUUGAAGUCAUUGCGUUGUAUUCUUCCACCGUUGCCCAGGGGUGUGGUUGCCUCACCUUCAACCCAAUGGAGCAGAAGUGAGGAAAAUUACUAGGCAGAGAGAAAAUUUUGCCAGCAAUGUCAUCUCUCGAGAAAUUUCACUACAUUUUUACUCACAUCUCAUUCUUAAAUUUUAGGUAAUGAUUUUUUAGCUUUAUACAUUGUUUGACGAUUCCAUUGCCGGUUCAAAUCCAAGGAUAAAAAAUAAUGACAAAUCGAAAGGGAAAUUUCUGAAAAUAUCCAAUUCCU